ACAACAUCCAUAAACACAUAGCCCCGCGACCUCCGCCCCCCACACCGUCCCCGCCUCCUCUCUCAUUCUCUCUCUCUCUCAAGCUCCUCUCUCACUCGAUCUCUCUCGAACCCUCUAGCGAUUGUGAAAGCACCGCCUCCCUCGGCGCCUCUAGAUCUGUGCUCGAACCGGCGAACCCUAAUCUAGUGCCUUUUGUUCUGUGUUCGUAGCCGUGAGGAAUCGAUCUUGUGCUCCAACUUUGCCGUGAGGGACCGAUCUGGUGCUAUGACUUUGUCGUGAGGGGACCGAUAUGGUGCUCCAACUUUGUCGUGAGGGAUCGAUCUGGAGCUCCGACUUUGAUAAGUUGUUAAUAUUGUGCUUGUGAUUUGUACGUGCUUGAUGGUCGCCGAUGACGACACCGUGGCUGGCCAAAUCGGUGGCAGUGAGGUUGCAAUUCCUUCAACUGAUCCUAUCAUUAUAGAUUCCGACCCUGAUGUGGCAGAGGUCGAGGAGACAGACACACAUACUAGUUCUCGGGUAAGAAAUAGAGCUUCCACAUCUGAUAUGUGGAAUGACUUCGACAAGAGGACACACCUACUAGUUCUCGGGUAAGAAAUAGAGCUUCCACAUCUGAUAUGUGGAAUGACUUCGACAAGAUUCGUAUAUGAACUUCAAUAGCAUUACAAAAUUUGCUGACGUUCUGUACAUAUAUAAUUAACGAGAAGAAACAAUAGUCAAAGAUUUAUUAGGAACCAUUUAUUCAGAUCAACCAUUUAUUCAGAUCACGCAAGCAGCGUAUAUAGCUAGCUACCAAUACGUACGAGUCUCACAGCAGGCUUGGAACCGAAGCAUCUCCCCCGCAGCACUUCACAAAGCAACAGCACUGGCCGCUUUUCCCAGGGGGGUUGGAGCAUUUCACGACAGGGUCGACGUACCCGGUCGCCUUGCAAACCAUGGUGCACGUCUCUUUGUCGCAUUUCCCUCCAUGCAAGUCGAAACAGUUUACUGCACUACGACAAAACUAAGGAAGACGUUAUAUACAGACAUCCUUUGCAAAGUUGAUAUUGAAUAUAAAUUAAGGAAUUAAUAAUGUAUGCACGACCUUUUAGCCCUUGCACGGCAAGGUAGUAGGGUGAGAAGACCAUGGCCAUGGCCACGGCCAUGACGGUCGCCAAGAACAGAGCUCUACUACUGCCCAUGUAUGAUUCCUAGCUAUGAGCACCACAAGCUAAUUAAGUGCCUCCAAUGGUUGGUUGCUCACUUGCUCCUAUGUUUGGACGUGGUGUGUUCGGGUGCUAGGUUUCUGUAAUUCUGUUCCGGCGCCGCGGCCAUACUUAUAUAUUGAUCGGGAUGUGUAGAUCAGGGACUAGUUGUUUGGAAAA